GAUGAACGCUGGCGGCGUGCCUAAUACAUGCAAGUCGAGCGAACAGACGAGGAGCUUGUUCCUCUGACGUUAGCGGCGGACGGGUGAGUAACACGUGGAUAACCUACCUAUAAGACUGGGAUAACUUCGGGAAACCGGAGCUAAUACCGGAUAAUAUAUUGAACCGCAUGGUUCAAUAGUGAAAGACGGUUUUGCUGUCACUUAUAGAUGGAUCCGCGCCGCAUUAGCUAGUUGGUAAGGUAACGGCUUACCAAGGCAACGAUGCGUAGCCGACCUGAGAGGGUGAUCGGCCACACUGGAACUGAGACACGGUCCAGACUCCUACGGGAGGCAGCAGUAGGGAAUCUUCCGCAAUGGGCGAAAGCCUGACGGAGCAACGCCGCGUGAGUGAUGAAGGUCUUCGGAUCGUAAAACUCUGUUAUUAGGGAAGAACAAAUGUGUAAGUAACUAUGCACGUCUUGACGGUACCUAAUCAGGAAGCCACGGCUAACUACGUG
rnacentral:rRNA from 1 species